rnacentral:rRNA from 1 species
UGCAGAAUCCCGUGAACCAUCGAGUCUUUGAACGCAAGUUGCGCCCGAAGCCAUUAGGCCGAGGGCACGUCUGCCUGGGCGUCACACGUCGUUGCCCCCCCCAAACCCCCUCGGGAGUUGGAUGGGACGGAUGAUGGCCUUCCCGUGUGCUCAGUCACGCGGUUGGCAUAAAUACCAAGUCCUCGGCGACCAACGCCACGACAAUCGGUGGUUGUCAAACCUCGGUUUCCUGUCGUGCGCGCGUGUUGAUCGAGUGCUUUCUUAAACAAUGCGUGUCGAUCCGUCGAUGCUUUCAACGCGACCCCAGGUCAGGCGGGGUUACCCGCUGAAUUUAA